AGAGGGAUAGCUGGGUCAAAUGUUGGUUUCAUUAUUAGAUUUCCAAGGAAUCUCCAUAUUGGCUGUACCAACUUGCAGUCCCACCAGCAAU
rnacentral:pre_miRNA from 1 species